rnacentral:rRNA from 1 species
UCCGGUUGAUCCUGCCGGAGGCCACUGCUAUUGGGGUUCGACUAAGCCAUGCGAGUCUAUGGGCUUUGCCCAUGGCGGACGGCUCAGUAACACGUGGUUAACCUACCCUCAGGUGGGGGAUAACCUCGGGAAACUGAGGAUAAUACCCCAUAGGGGAUGAUGUCUGGAAUGAUUCAUCCCUGAAAGGACAUCCGCCUGAGGAUGGGACUGCGUCCGAUUAGGUAGUUGGUGGGGUAACGGCCCACCAAGCCUACGAUCGGUACGGGCCUUGAGAGAGGGAGCCCGGAGAUGGGGACUGAGACACGGCCCCAGGCCCUACGGGGCGCAGCAGGCGCGAAACCUCCACAAUGCACGAAAGUGCGAUGGGGGAACCCCAAGUGCCUAUGCACAGCAUAGGCUUUUCCCAAGUGUAAACAGCUUGGGGAAUAAGGGCUGGGCAAGUCCGGUGCCAGCAGCCGCGGUAACACCGGCGGCCCAAGUGGUGGCCACUCUUAUUGGGCCUAAAGCGUCCGUAGCCGGUCCAGUAAGUCCCUGUUUAAAUCCUGCGGCUUAACCGCAGGACUGGCAGGGAUACUGCUGGACUAGGGACCGGGAGGGGGUGAGGGUACUCCAGGGGUAGCGGUGAAAUGCGUUGAUCCCUGGAGGACCACCUAUGGCGAAGGCACUCACCUGGAACGGGGUCGACCGUGAGGGACGAAAGCCAGGGGCGCGAACCGGAUU